rnacentral:rRNA from 1 species
GACGAACGCUGGCGGCGUGCUUAACACAUGCAAGUCGAACGCUGAAGCUUGGUGCUUGCACUGGGUGGAUGAGUGGCGAACGGGUGGGUAAUACGUGAGUAACCUGCCCUUGACUCUGGGAUAAGCCUGGGAAACUGGGUCUAAUACUGGAUACGACAUGUCACCGCAUGGUGGUGUGUGGAAAGGGUUUUACUGGUUUUGGAUGGGCUCACGGCCUAUCAGCUUGUUGGUGGGGUAAUGGCUCACCAAGGCGACGACGGGUAGCCGGCCUGAGAGGGUGACCGGCCACACUGGGACUGAGACACGGCCCAGACUCCUACGGGAGGCAGCAGUGGGGAAUAUUGCACAAUGGGCGGAAGCCUUAUGCAGCGACGCCGCGUGAGGGAUGACGGCCUUCGGGUUGUAAACCUCUUUCAGCACGGAAGAAGCGAAAGUGACGGUACGUGCAGAAGAAGCGCCGGCUAACUACGUG